AACUCCUUUAUAAUGUAAAAGGAACCAAAUUUAGUGUGAAGCUAAACUUACUUUGAGCCUAGCUUAAGCGCUUGCUAAAUCCAGAAAGUGCUCGACACGUUACACUCGUUGUUUACCUGAUGGUCAAAACUGCACCGAGGCCGUUAUCACUGCUGUUCUCAUUGUAUAUACCAAAAGAAGAAGAGAUACCCAAAACAAUACUGAGCCAGGGAGUCAAACUUGGCAGCCUGACUUCAAAGCCGAUAUAUCUGUCUCCUAGCGUUACAAAAGUAGGUCAGGCUUGAAAAGAUUAGAAAACAAACUCAGAGGUCAAAUGAUCUUCCUGCUCCUGGUCUCACUCAGUAAGUGACCCAGCUACAGGUGGGACUGAGGACUUCUGACUGCAGCACCUUAGCAUCCACUAUCUGCUCCUCUGCCUGGGCCCAGCAUGGAGACCCUGAGGAGACCCUGAGGCCAGAGCUGCUUCUCCAAAUAGGCAUGCUAAGGAAAGUUUUGUUGUUGUUGUUGUUGUUUGAGACAGGGUCUUGCUGUGUAGUUCAGACUGGCCUUGAACUCACUAUGUAGCCUAAAGUGACCUCAAACUCAUGAUGAUCCUCCUGCCUCAGCCUUCCAAGCACCAGGAUUACAGGUGUGCUCCACCACGCCCCACAGAAGUGUUUUAGUCUCAUUCUUCUGACAGUAAAUAUUCAGCAGGCCCCAGGUGCAUAGUAUUGUCAUUCAGAAGUCUGCUAUUAGGAAGGUAAACUCACAGUGGAGACUGACAAUGGAAUAGGCAAAGACAGGACACCGUGAUCUCUGCCAGCUGCUCCUGGUCCGUGUCCAACACUGCAGGCUUCUUCUGUCCCAGCUGUCGAGCUUCCAUUUGAGAGGAACCAGCAGUGGGGCUGACCGGAUGCUACAAAAAGCUGCCCUCUUUCAAGGAACAUAGGAAGGGUUGCUGGAGAGUAGAAGAGAAGGAUGACAGAGGGAGAAGGAGCCAGAUUGCAUAGGGCCGUGUAAGCCCGGGUGAAAAGUUGGGGUUUUGCUCCAAAAGUGAGGGGAAGCCUUGGAAGGGAAUAACAUGACCUGUUUUACAUUGUUAAAAGAUCAGCCAGCUGUGUAGAAAAGCAGUUUAAGCAGACAACAAGAAACGGGGAGCCGACUGGGCACUGUGGCAGGACCAGGAUGGUAACGGAAGACAGAGAGGUGGUGGGCUCGGCCUGUCACGUGAAGCACAAGUGAAGGGGUUUCUGGGGUGUGGGUGAGGUGGUGCAUGGAGGGGUCACGAGAUGGGAGCAGCUUAGGACCACUUCAAGGUUGUCACUUGCUCUGACCUUCUAUACCACUGAGGAUGACUGGAGUAGAUCCUGCUUUUGCUCAAGAGACCAAGACUUGGUUUUUUGACAAAUAUAUUUUGCUUAGCCUCAAGUCCUCCUAGAGUCCUCAUCCCCUGGCCUCCCCUACCCAAGAAGUCCCCAAAUCUCAGAAUUCAAACUUCUGACCACCUAAUCCCUUAUUAAAUCUAUCCCUUCAACUCUGUCCCACAUGCCUCCAUCCCCAGUCUACUGUUCAUUAGCCUAGAGUUAGUAUUUAUGAACAAAGUACUGUAUAGGCAUCAUUUCUGUUUCCCUCCAGCCAACUUUGAUGGCAGAGACCAUGUCUUCUUCAUAUUUAUCCUCCAUGUCUAGUGCUGUGCUCACCGCAGUGCAGGCACUCACGUCAGUGAUGGACUGAAAAAAGGGCUCCUCAAGCAGGAUGUAAUCCCCUGAAAGAGAGAGCCCCACCUCAAGACCACAUGGUUCCUUCACAUAAUGUGAAGCCGAGUCAGAUAUGCAAUGUGUGAUUGAUUCCUAGAGCCCUUGCCUUCCCCAAAUAUAUUUCUGUAUUUCUGUUUGUUUGUUUUGUAUCGGGAAUCAAACUCAUGACCUUGCACUUGUGAGGCAGGCGGUGGCACCACUGAGCUAAAUCCUGGCCCAUUUCUGUACUUCCAGUUUGGUUUUGCACCGUAUUGCUUGGUCUCCACUUACAGCUGGUAGUUAAAGACUUUGACAAUUUUUUCCACUUCAUCCAAAAUGCAGGAACUUUCUAUGCUUGACCUAGGAACAUUUUUAGAAGGAGGCCGUGGAGAGUGCUCUCCAUUUUACAAAGAAGAGAACUGAAAUCCAGAAUUAAAUCCCUUUCAUUUCCUUUAUGAUCAAGUUAGGAGCCUGAGUCCAGUGAAAACUCGCUGCCCCUGACCUCACUAUCUGGCUGUGUAGCUAGAAGAUUCCCAACAUCGAAACCUGCAAAACUGCUGCAUUGCUCUUGGGUGUUCCUAGUUUCACCUCUACAUUUAUGAACUCCUUUCGGUGGCAGGGUAUGUGGCCUCAGGGCCACAGUUCUCUCUCUCCCCCUCUCUACUACUUUUCUUGGUGCUGUGUGGAGCCAGAUUCCAACCCUUGGAACCAGCAGAGGAGCAACUUGGUCUUCAGUCCAGGAGGAAUCAGAACCAAUAAAGAACAAGGGAGAUCUAAGUAGGCAAGAAUACUUUCAAUGGGACAAAGACCAGAGGAGCCAUCAAGGAAGUCAAGUCAGAGGACUCCUGUUGGAAGGUUUCCAUCGUGGGAGCACCUGGGAAGAACAGUGGUGGCCAAGGGGACAGGUGGCCGGACCCUGCCUAAGCCAGUCAUCUCUUCAGGGCUCCCAGCUUUUCAGAGCCUUCUGGGCCUGGGCCAGCUGCUUCUGCAGCCUCUGGUAAGUGCUGCCGCUGCUGGUGCUGGAGAGCCGACAUCACCACCACCCUGAGGCCUGGGGUGUUGUGGAGGGGCAGCACCAUCUGGUCCCCACGGAAGGCCAGAAAGCGGCCAGUGAUGCUGAAGGCCGAGUCAGAGACAUGCUGUCUGUGGACCUGCUCACACCUCUUCUUCCUGUGCCAGUGUUGUAGAGACGAUUGGUGAUGCUGCUGGCCAAGGCCCAGGCCAAGAUGGUGUCAGGGGAGAGUGGCAAGGGACACUGCAUGGUGCUUGCCUUUUGGAAGCAUCCUGUCCUGCUGCUUCUGGCAUUCUGCAUUGGUGUCCCACAGUUCCCACACUCUGUCCUCAGAUACAGAGACCAUCCUCUGGCAGUCGCUGGAGAAGGUGACGGAGUGGACACCUGCAGAGUGGCUCUUCAGUUCAAAAGCUCCUGGAAGUCCCUCUUCUUCCCCACUCAGACUUCCCAGACCUUCACAUCUGGGGUGAGGCCACAAGCCUGGUGCAAGAAGAUGGGGCAGCUUAGGUGGUGUUCAUCUGGUCCGUGUAAGUUCUAGGCAGCACCUGCCUUUCAGAUUCCCCAUGACGAUAGUCAUUCCCUGGGAGUUGGCAGGAUGAACUUCUCUAUGUCAGCAGUGCCGAUGUGGAUAAGUGCCUUGUGCUUUUUAGGGAAGUCCACUGUGGUGGGUGUGAAGGGAAACUCUCCAUCUCACAUGGCCAUCUUGAAGGCAGGGAGUGUGACUGACCCCACAGGCCAGCCAGACAACGAAGACUACAGUUGGGGCUGAAGCACACAAGCUAGGGAGGUUCAGCUUCAGGUUGGCUACCAUGCACAGUGCUGCUGCAGGACUCCCAUGGUGCUGGGGACUGUGUGACCCUCUGCACAGGUGGCCAGAUACUUGUACUGCUGCUAAAGCCCAUGCAGGUUAUGUUCUCCCUGCGGCUCUUCAGUGCUGCGGCCCAAGGCAGUUGGUGGAAUUGUGUUGCUGAGGUUUCUCCUUUUGAAUCCACUGAUGAUCUCCAGCCACACCACCUUGCAUGUGCCAUACCUCAUCUGAACCCACUGAUGCUGCUUCUGCUUCUUGGGUCCCAACUUCUGCCCCUCUCCUCUUCCCCUAACCACCCUGUGCUGCGGCAGCCUGACCAGCGGGGACAGCCCCUUCAUCUCUGGCAUCUGUAGGAGUGCCAUGGUGUCCAAGCCACUCUGUAUCAAUAUAUUUUUAUUCCCCAAAUAAUUUCACAACUUCCAAAUGCUUGCCGCUUGAACACACUUCAGAUUCACUGUGUUAAUGGAUUGAAUACCAUGUCAACCAUGUAGCUGGAUUUAGUGCCAGUUAUUCCUGAAUCCCAAAUCUUUAGAAAAG
rnacentral:lncRNA from 1 species